UACGUAGGGGGCUAGCGUUGUCCGGAAUCAUUGGGCGUAAAGAGCGUGUAGGCGGCCCGGUAAGUUCGCUGUAAAAGUCAAAGGCUCAACCUUUGAAUGUCAGUGGAUACUGCCGGGCUAGAGUCCGGAAGAGGCGAGUGGAACUCCUGGUGUACGGUGGAAUGCGCAGAUAUCAGGAAGAACACCAACCAGGCGAAGGCAGCUCGCUGGGACGGUACUGACGCUGAGACGCGAAAGCGUGGGGAGCGAACAGG
rnacentral:rRNA from 1 species